rnacentral:rRNA from 1 species
GACGAACGCUGGCGGCGUGCUUAACACAUGCAAGUCGAACGGAAAGGCCCUGCUUUUGUGGGGUGCUCGAGUGGCGAACGGGUGAGUAACACGUGAGUAACCUGCCCUUGACUUUGGGAUAACUUCAGGAAACUGGGGCUAAUACCGGAUAGGAGCUCCUGCUGCAUGGUGGGGGUUGGAAAGUUUCGGCGGUUGGGGAUGGACUCGCGGCUUAUCAGCUUGUUGGUGGGGUAGUGGCUUACCAAGGCUUUGACGGGUAGCCGGCCUGAGAGGGUGACCGGCGACAUUGGGACUGAGAGACGGCCCAGACUCGUACGGGAGGCAGCAGUGGGGAAUAUGACACAAUGGGCGGAAGCCUGAUGCGGCGACGCCGCGUGCGGGAUGACGGCCUUCGGGUUGUAAACCGCUUUCGCCUGUGACGAAGCGUGAGUGACGGUAAUGGGUGAAGAAGCACCGGCUAACUACGUG